rnacentral:rRNA from 1 species
GACGAACGCUGGCGGCGUGCUUAACACAUGCAAGUCGAACGGAAAGGCCUCUUUCUUGGGGUACGCGAGUGUCGAACGGGUGAGUAACACGUGAGUAUCCCGCCCCUGACUUUGGGAUAACUUCAGGAAACUGGGGCUAAUACCGGAUAGGAGCUCCUGCUUCAUGGUGGGGGUUGGAAAGAUUCGGCGGUUGGGGGUGGACUCGCGGCUUAUCAGCUUGUUUGUGGGGUAGUGGCUUACCAAGGCUUUGACGGGUAGCCGGCCUGAGAGGGUGACCGGCCACAUUGGGACUGAGAUACGGCCCAGACUCCUACGGGAGGCAGCAGGGGGGAAUAUUGCAAAAUGGGUGGAAGCCUGAUGCAGCAACGCCGUGUGCGGGAUGACGGUCUUCGGGUUGUAAACCGCUUUCGCUCAUGACGAAGCUUUGUGUGACGGUAGUGGGUAAAGAAGCACCGGCUAACUACGUG